rnacentral:rRNA from 1 species
UACAGAGGGGGCAAGCGUUAUUCGGAAUUAUUGGGCGUAAAGGGCGCGUAGGCGGCUUGGCAAGUGGAAGGUGAAAUCCCUCGGCUUAACCGAGGAACUGCCCUCCAAACUGCUUCGCUUGAGACCGGGAGAGGUGAGUGGAAUUCCCAGUGUAGCGGUGAAAUGCGUAGAUAUUGGGAGGAACACCAGUGGCGAAGGCGGCUCACUGGACCGGUACUGACGCUGAGACACGAAAGCGUGGGUAGCAAACAGG